GAUGAACGCUGGCGGCGUGCUUAACACAUGCAAGUCGAACGGGAAACCUUUUAUUGAAGCUUCGGCAGAUUUAGCUGGUUUCUAGUGGCGGACGGGUGAGUAACGCGUGGGUAACCUGCCUUAUACAGGGGGAUAACAACCAGAAAUGGUUGCUAAUACCGCAUAAGCGCACAGGACCGCAUGGUCCGGUGUGAAAAACUCCGGUGGUAUAAGAUGGACCCGCGUUGGAUUAGCUAGUUGGCAGGGUAACGGCCUACCAAGGCGACGAUCCAUAGCCGGCCUGAGAGGGUGAGCGGCCACAUUGGGACUGGGACACGGCCCAGACUCCUACGGGAUGCAGGAGUGGGGAAUAUUGCACAAUGGGGGAAACCCUGAUGCAGCGACGCCGCGUGAAGGAAGAAGUAUCUCGGUAUGUAAACUUCUAUCAGCAGGGAAGAUAGUGACGGUACCUGACUAAGAAGCCCCGGCUAACUACGUG
rnacentral:rRNA from 1 species